GGCGUACGGGUGCGGAACACGUGUGCAACCUACCUUUAUCAGGGGGAUAGCCUUUCGAAAGGAAGAUUAAUACCCCAUAAUAUAUUGAAUGGCAUCAUUUAAUAUUGAAAACUCCGGUGGAUAGAGAUGGGCACGCGCAAGAUUAGAUAGUUGGUAGGGUAACGGCCUACCAAGUCAGUGAUCUUUAGGGGGCCUGAGAGGGUGAUCCCCCACACUGGUACUGAGACACGGACCAGACUCCUACGGGAGGCAGCAGUGAGGAAUAU
rnacentral:ncRNA from 1 species